rnacentral:rRNA from 1 species
AUGAACGCUAGCUACAGGCUUAACACAUGCAAGUCGAGGGGCAUCAGGAAGAAAGCUUGCUUUCUUUGCUGGCGACCGGCGCACGGGUGAGUAACACGUAUCCAACCUGCCCUUUACUCGGGGAUAGCCUUUCGAAAGAAAGAUUAAUACCCGAUAGCAUAAUGAUUCCGCAUGGUUUCAUUAUUAAAGGAUUCCGGUAAAGGAUGGGGAUGCGUUCCAUUAGGUUGUUGGUGAGGUAACGGCUCACCAAGCCUUCGAUGGAUAGGGGUUCUGAGAGGAAGGUCCCCCACAUUGGAACUGAGACACGGUCCAAACUCCUACGGGAGGCAGCAGUGAGGAAUAUUGGUCAAUGGGCGCUAGCCUGAACCAGCCAAGUAGCGUGAAGGAUGAAGGCUCUAUGGGUCGUAAACUUCUUUUAUAUAAGAAUAAAGUGCAGUAUGUAUACUGUUUUGUAUGUAUUAUAUGAAUAAGGAUCGGCUAACUCCGUGCCAGCAGCCGCGGUAAUACGGAGGAUCCGAGCGUUAUCCGGAUUUAUUGGGUUUAAAGGGAGCGUAGGUGGACUGGUAAGUCAGUUGUGAAAGUUUGCGGCUCAACCGUAAAAUUGCAGUUGAUACUGUCAGUCUUGAGUACAGUAGAGGUGGGCGGAAUUCGUGGUGUAGCGGUGAAAUGCUUAGAUAUCACGAAGAACUCCGAUUGCGAAGGCAGCUCACUGGACUGCAACUGACACUGAUGCUCGAAAGUGUGGGUAUCAAACAGGAUUAGAUACCCUGGUAGUCCACACAGUAAACGAUGAAUACUCGCUGUUUGCGAUAUACAGUAAGCGGCCAAGCGAAAGCAUUAAGUAUUCCACCUGGGGAGUACGCCGGCAACGGUGAAACUCAAAGGAAUUGACGGGGGCCCGCACAAGCGGAGGAACAUGUGGUUUAAUUCGAUGAUACGCGAGGAACCUUACCCGGGCUUAAAUUGCAGUGGAAUGAUGUGGAAACAUGUCAGUGAGCAAUCACCGCUGUGAAGGUGCUGCAUGGUUGUCGUCAGCUCGUGCCGUGAGGUGUCGGCUUAAGUGCCAUAACGAGCGCAACCCUUAUCUUUAGUUACUAACAGGUUAUGCUGAGGACUCUAGAGAGACUGCCGUCGUAAGAUGUGAGGAAGGUGGGGAUGACGUCAAAUCAGCACGGCCCUUACGUCCGGGGCUACACACGUGUUACAAUGGGGGGUACAGAAGGCAGCUAGCGGGUGACCGUAUGCUAAUCCCAAAAGCCUCUCUCAGUUCGGAUCGAAGUCUGCAACCCGACUUCGUGAAGCUGGAUUCGCUAGUAAUCGCGCAUCAGCCACGGCGCGGUGAAUACGUUCCCGGGCCUUGUACACACCGCCCGUCAAGCCAUGGGAGCCGGGGGUACCUGAAGUACGUAACCGCAAAGAUCGUCCUAGGGUAAAACUGGUGACUGGGGCU